AGAAUCAACGCUGGCGGCGUGCCUAACACAUGCAAGUCGAACGAGAAAGUGGAGCAAUCCAUGAGUAAAGUGGCGCACGGGUGAGUAACACGUGACUAACCUACCCUUGAGUGGGGGAUAACCUAGAGAAAUCUGGGCUAAUACCGCAUAAUACCUUCGGGUCAAAGGAGCAAUUCGCUUAAGGAGGGGGUCGCGGCCGAUUAGUUAGUUGGCGGGGUUAAUGGCCCACCAAGACUAUGAUCGGUAUCCGGCCUGAGAGGGCGCACGGACACACUGGAACUGAAACACGGUCCAGACUCCUACGGGAGGCAGCAGUGGGAAUUUUGCGCAAUGGGGGAAACCCUGACGCAGCAACGCCGCGUGGAGGAUGAAGUCCCUUGGGACGUAAACUCCUUUCGAUCGGGACGAUAAUGACGGUACCGAGAGAAGAAGCCCCGGCUAACUUCGCGCCAGCAGCCGC
rnacentral:rRNA from 1 species